rnacentral:rRNA from 1 species
UGGGCAAUCUGCCCUUCACUCUGGGACAAGCCCUGGAAACGGGGUCUAAUACCGGAUAACACUCUGUCCCGCAUGGGACGGGGUUAAAAGCUCCGGCGGUGAAGGAUGAGCCCGCGGCCUAUCAGCUUGUUGGUGGGGUAAUGGCCUACCAAGGCGACGACGGGUAGCCGGCCUGAGAGGGCGACCGGCCACACUGGGACUGAGACACGGCCCAGACUCCUACGGGAGGCAG